rnacentral:sRNA from 1 species
UGAUGAUAGUAAAGAUGUAAAAUAGUGUUUUCCCCCCUUCCACUGAUGGAUCUAUUUCUUGAGUAUUUGUAAUAUAUACAUUUAUUUAUCCUCUUCAUUCAUUCUCAUCUUCCAUUUUCUUUCACAUCUCCCAUUACCCUUAACCGGGUAUCACACUUGGCUAAAACAAAACAGAUAUAUCGUGCAACCCGUAUCCGAACGACUAUCUACAAAAGGAACAAAAAAACACCGUCCAAACAGAAGACAACAAUUCUUUUCUAAACAGCGAAGGUAUAUAUCGCUAUAAAUACAUGCAAUGCUGAAUCAUAGAAAAAGGGAAUGCAAGAACAAACGGGGCACAUAACAGAUAUAUCACCAAGCCAUCCAUAUCUCGGAAGAAAUAAUAAAAUCUUCCCCCCUACGACGCCCUAGGUUCCAACAACAGGUUCCCCACAGGCCUCGUCGCUACAAACCCAUCAUCUCGCGUAUACACCUUCUGGCCCCUUAACCACGUCUCGCGCACGAUACCCCUCAUCCUCCUCCCCUGAUACGGCGAGCACUUAUUGCGAAACAGCAUGGUAUCAGGCUCCACCACCCACUCCCC